rnacentral:piRNA from 1 species
UGAGCCAAACUACCAAAAAUUGCAGAGCUU